GCUCAGGACGAACGCUGGCGGCGUGCUUAACACAUGCAAGUCGAACGAUGAACCACUUCGGUGGGGAUUAGUGGCGAACGGGUGAGUAACACGUGGGCAAUCUGCCCUGCACUCUGGGACAAGCCCUGGAAACGGGGUCUAAUACCGGAUACUGAUCCGUCUGGGCAUCCAGACGGUUCGAAAGCUCCGGCGGUGCAGGAUGAGCCCGCGGCCUAUCAGCUUGUUGGUGAGGUAGUGGCUCACCAAGGCGACGACGGGUAGCCGKCCUGAGAGGGCGACCGGCCACACUGGGACUGAGACACGKCCCAGACUCSUACGGGAGGCAGCAGUGGGGAAUAUUGCACAAUGGGCGAAAGCCUGAUGCAGCGACGCCGCGUGAGGGAKGACGGCCUUCGGGUUGUAAACCUCUUUCAGCAGGGAAGAAGCGAAAGUGACGGUACCUGCAGAAGAAGCGCCGGCUAACUACGUGCCAGCAGCCGCGGUAAUACGUAGGGCGCGAGCGUUGUCCGGAAUUAUUGGGCGUAAAGAGCUCGUAGGCGGCUUGUCACGUCGGUUGUGAAARCCCGGGGCUUAACCCCGGGUCUGCAGUCGAUACGGGCAGGCUAGAGUUCGGUAGGGGAGAUCGGAAUUCCUGGUGUAGCGGUGAAAUGCGCAGAUAUCAGGAGGAACACCGGUGGCGAAGGCGGAUCUCUGGGCCGAUACUGACGCUGAGGAGCGAAAGCGUGGGGAGCGAACAGGAUUAGAUACCCUGGUA
rnacentral:rRNA from 1 species